CAAUGGGGGAAACCCUGAAUGCAGCAACGCCGCGUGAGCGAUGAAGGCCUUCNCGGUCGUAAAGCUCUGUCCUCAAGGNAAGAUAAUGACGGUACUUGAGGAGGAAGCCCCGGCUAACUACGUGCCAGCAGCCGCGGUAAUACGUAGGGGGCUAGCGUUAUCCGGAAUUACUGGGCGUAAAGGGUGCGUAGGUGGUUUCUUAAGUCAGAGGUGAAAGGCUACGGCUCAACCGUAGUAAGCCUUUGAAACUGGGAAACUUGAGUGCAGGAGAGGAGAGUGGAAUUCCUAGUGUAGCGGUGAAAUGCGUAGAUAUUAGGAGGAACACCAGUUGCGAAGGCGGCUCUCUGGACUGUAACUGACACUGAGGCACGAAAGCGUGGGGAGCAAACAGGAUUAGAUACCCUGGUAGUCCAAGGGCGAAUUC
rnacentral:rRNA from 1 species